rnacentral:lncRNA from 1 species
GAAACGCAAAAAGAGUAUGAAUAAUCAUUUUAAAUCAUUAGACUAUUCACAUUAUCAUUAUAUAAUCGUGAACAAACAUCAAUGAUAUUUAAAUUACAUUUGUACCUUCGCUUGAUAGAAGGUAAAGAUCCAGGAGUGACGCGUGAGUGAUUACAAGUCAGCGUGAACAGUACGGGGUUACUGUUCAUCUAUUUAUAGGCACCAGACACAGCCCGAAAAAAAUUACAUUCGUGUCCUUGAUAACUAAUCAUAACCAUAAUACAAAUUAUCAGGGACUAUGUGGUCUUUUCCUCUUUAAGUCGGUGCCAUCCUUCGUCUUAAGCAUGUCAUCAUGCAGAAGCUCUUUCAAUUGUAGCUUCGGCAUAUAUCUUCAUGUCGUAUCUGCUUGUGUAUCGUCUUGUCGAAGGUGUUUUUGCUUGGAGGACCUUCGACGAAGAAGAAGGCCCCCAACACUGAGCAUUGCGUUUAAUAAGUUGGCCAAAUUUUAUUAGUAGUUACUAAAUGUAAGUAGAUACCAAACCAGAAUAAUAAUAGAUCAAAAUUAAUAAUAAAUCCCAAUGCGAUGCAAAAGACAAAUUGAAUUUAGUUCCAUAAUUUAAUCAUGUGAGAGUCCUGAGCUGCUCAUGACCGCAAGCACGACUAGUAUACCAGUUUUACACUCUGUAGAGGUUGUACCCUAUACCCACAAGUCGUGUAUCCCAUGCUGCUUGGGUUUGCAAGGCCCUUAGACACUGCCGAGGUGAAUGGAUAGGGAUCCACUAUGAGGCCUUUACAAGGUUCCACUAGCUUCAGAAAAUCCGCUACAGUUCAAGGAAGAGUAAUGCAGGAAUCCCCUGUCUGACCGCCAUCGCAGCAAAAUCAACCCGGGAACCUCCCUACAUGCCUAAUCCCCUACUGCCCUUGCCCCUAUCGGGUAAGGUAGUCCUCCACUAGCUUUCCUAGUAAGUCAGCCAAGGGCGUCCCAUUCCACCCUUGUGGUGGCACGUGUUUCUCAAGUUAAGCUUCAUGUUAUAAUUAAAAUAAUAGUCUUAUCAUGAGCAGAAAUAGAACAAUAAUAAAGAAUAAUCAUGUGUAAUAGUUAUCUCAACACCCAAAACUAUGUAUAGCAAUAGCAAUGACUACCCAAAAAUUCAGGGGUAAACAAGGUGAAAAGAUAACCAGACUAGGGCGACCUAUUGGGUCCCAUCAAAAUUAAGCCUAUGCAUGAAUAAAUGAUUAUAAAGAACAUUAUUGGGUAAUAAAAGUGGUCAAGGGCACAACUUGCCUUCAAUGAGCUCAUGCUCAUCAACUUCUACCUACUGAACAAUCGGAUCCUCGGCCACUUGCUCUUCUACUCGCCACAAUACAAACAAGCAUAGUACAAGGGAGAAAUUAACAUCACACCAAACAUGUAUACAAAACACAUAUUAAUAAUCUACACAUUAAAACGAGAUAAUAGGAAAAAAAUCACUAAAUUCAGAGUUACGGAUUUCGAGUUAUAAAUUUUGGAAGGUUUUAUGUGUUUGGUAAAAGAUUAAUUAAGUGAUCAAAUUUAAUAUGAGUUUCAUGUUAAAAUAGUGUUACCAGUUGAUAGAUAGUAUUAAUACAAAAUUAUAGGAACUGGAGUGGAUCAAUUUGGACUUAAAAUGAAUUAAAUAUGAAUUAUACAAGUUUCUGGAAUUAUAUUUGUAUUAAAAAUCAAUUUCUAUAAUAAUUUAUCUAAUUUCUUUGAUCACUGGACUGCGCGCACAAAAACAGAGAACUACAGGGGCUGCUACGUAAAAAGUUCAUGACUCAGAGUACGCCAGCGAUGGACUGCGAGUUCAUUAGAUGGUUCUCAAGGGUCUCUUAAGCAAAAUAGUCACGACUGGGGGUCUAUAGGCACCCACGGGCCACAAGAUCAGAGAUCGAGGACCCGGAUUAAGUCACGAAGCGGUACGUCCCACAGACCACCGGAUCGAAUAUCUAAGGCCACGAUUUUAUUAGGCUGGAUCUGCUUACAUCCGUCCGAUCUAAUCCAAGGGUCACGAUCUAAUCACGAAGGGAUACAUAUACUUUCUAAUCGGGACCGUGAAUCAUGCAAUCGAUGGCGUGGAUUUUAAAUGUCCUAGAUUGCGCUGGGUCUGUUUGUUCGUGAUCCGAUGGCUCAGGACGAAUCACGCGAAGGGUUAUUGUGACGUCUAAUCUACACCGCCCAAAACCGGAUGGACGACCGAGGGAUCCCAUUCUCCCUCCCAGCCAACCGUGGCGGCGCCGCCCGAUGUCGCGGUGGUUCCAAACCGGAGUUUCCCCCAUCACGCACGGUAGGGCGCUAAUCCCUAAUUCUAACCGCACUAUGCCACACCAAGGAAAGGAUGGACAAAAGGGUGCACUUAUUACCUUGGUAUGGAGCACGAGUGACACUAUCCGCGCAACGGCGCGGCUCUGCGGCAAGCUUCAACUACGGCGAGGAAUUCCACACGCCCAAGGGCACGAUUGUCCGAGAAACGGGUCUGAGUGACUUCCCCCUGCGUUCAGGCGAGAUUCUGUGGCUCCAAUCAGGCACUCGACGACGGUGGGGGCGAGUAGCUACGAGGCGGCUGCGUCGUCUCUCAAUGGCGGAGUAUGACACGGUCUCUGCAGUUGCUGGCGAGGGUUCCCUAUCUAAGUGCUUAAGUGGCCCACAAUGAAAACAGGGGCAACCACAUUUGUAGCCACGGCGUGCGCGAGUCCGCGCAAGGAUGUGACAACGGCAGCGCGACAUUUGCGAUGAGCUAAUGGCUUGUGGACGGGGUGGGAGGACCUGACGUGUGGGGGCCACAGUCAGCGCACAGCGUUCGCAGUC